UGGGGAAUAUUGGACAAUGGGCGAAAGCCUGAUCCAGCAAUGCCGCGUGAGUGAUGAAGGCCUUAGGGUUGUAAAGCUCUUUUACCCGGGAUGAUAAUGACAGUACCGGGAGAAUAAGCUCCGGCUAACUCCGUGCCAGCAGCCGCGGUAAUACGGAGGGAGCUAGCGUUGUUCGGAAUUACUGGGCGUAAAGCGCACGUAGGCGGCUUUGUAAGUUAGAGGUGAAAGCCUGGAGCUCAACUCCAGAAUUGCCUUUAAGACUGCAUCGCUCGAAUCCAGGAGUGGUGAGUGGAAUUCCGAGUGUAGAGGUGAAAUUCGUAGAUAUUCGGAAGAACACCAGUGGCGAAGGCGGCUCACUGGACUGGUAUUGACGCUGAGGCGCGGAAGCGUGGGGAGCAAACAGGAUUAGAUACCCUGGUAGUCCACGCCGUAAACGAUGAUAACUAGCUGUCCGGGGACUUGGUCCUUGGGUGGCGCAGCUAACGCAUUAAGUUAUCCGCCUGGGGAGUACGGCCGCAAGGUUAAAACUUAAAUGAAUUGACGGGGUCAUAGCUGUUUCCU
rnacentral:rRNA from 1 species